rnacentral:snRNA from 1 species
AAUAUCGUCAUAAUCUAGGUUC